UACAGAGGGUGCAAGCGUUAUUCGGAAUUACUGGGCGUAAAGAGCGCGUAGGCGGCUCGAUAAGUCCGAUGUGAAAUCCCAGGGCUCAAUCCUGGAAGUGCAUCGGAUACUGUUGGGCUGGAGUAUAGGAGGGGAGAGUGGAAUUCCUGGUGUAGAGGUGAAAUUCGUAGAUAUCAGGAGGAACAACAGUGGCGAAGGCGACUCUCUGGACUAUUACUGACGCUGAGGCGCGAAAGCGUGGGGAGCAAACAGG
rnacentral:rRNA from 1 species